rnacentral:rRNA from 1 species
GACGAACGCUGGCGGCGUGCCUAAUACAUGCAAGUAGAACGCUGAAGAGAGGAGCUUGCUCUUCUUGGAUGAGUUGCGAACGGGUGAGUAACGCGUAGGUAACCUGCCUUGUAGCGGGGCUUACUAUUGGCAACGAAAUGUAAUUCCUACUAAAAAUUGAUGGCCUAUCUCAUUUUUUUGAAAGGGGACAUUUUUUCACUUCAAGGUUGACCUGCGUUGUCUUUGCUAGUAGGUGAGGUAAUGGCUCACCUAGGCGACGAUACAUUGCCGACCUGUGAGGGUGAUCGGCCACACUGGGACUGAGACACGGCCCAGACUCCUACGGGAUGCAGCAGUAGGGAAUCUUCGGCAAUGGGGGCAACCCUGACCGAGCAACGCCGCGUGAGUGAAGAAGGUUUUCGGAUCGUAAAGCUCUGUUGUAAGUCAAGAACGGGUGUGAGAGUGGAAAGUUCACACUGUGACGGUAGCUGACCAGAAAGGGACGGCUAACUACGUG